AUAUCAGGGUGCGUAUCUCCUCCUGAGAAGGACUGGGAAACAGUGUGAAUGGCACUCCGCGCUGCAGGCCCCCGUGGUCCCUCAGUGGGGCCUCCCUGGGCUGUCCCACGUGGAAUUUGCUGCUCUUCUUUCUGCAGACCCACAACAGUGUGCUCAUAGGACUCGCACUGCAAGGGACUGUGGGGACACCUGCCUUCCUUUCAUUCAGACUCUGCUGGAUGCCACCUUAUCAGGGAAGCCCCACCCAGCUAAAAUGGCGGCCAUGUCCAGUGGGACCUGACCAUUCAACCAGCUGUUUUCCUCAAAGAUCUUCUCACCAGUGGCUGAUCUCUACCAGAAGCAGCAUGGCCAAAUGGUCUGAUUUCGUGUGGACCACAGAUGUCCCCUGCGUGGACUUGUGGUCAAAUCUCAAGCAUUCAGUGGGUGUGGGGCUCAGCAAAGGGGAAUACUCCUCCAAUGCCAUGGCAGAGUUGCGGCUCCCUUUACACAUAGAAUUUUUCCAUCUUCCCAAGUAUUAAACUGUUCAGUUAAAUGCUAGCUGCAGCUGUGAAGCACUAUGCUUCCAUUUUAAGAUUACUUACUACCUACCAGGUUCAGACAAAGCGGACUUCUCGUCACGUGGAGCCUGCCCUGGAUCCAGAUGACUCAAUCAAAUGUCCUUCUUUUUUUCAUAUUUCACCUCUAUGCUCCUUAGUUACCUUUUCCCCAGCUUCUUCUUUCCCCUGGAAUCCCCAGCACACCUGUUCUAUUCUGAUCCGAAUGAACUCAGCUUCCCUAGAACUUCUUUCUCUCUGAUGGAGCCUGCCAGGCCCAUGACAGAGGCAAUGAAAUAUGGAGAACCCAGCAAACUCUCAGUGAUUCUGGUAUUUGUCAAAAGUUUCAAAACCUUCUGAACCAAAAAAGACAUUAUUGGUUCAAAGGGGCCCUGCCCGGUUUCCACGCUGAUCUCCAUGGCCAGCGCAUGGCUGUGCCACCCCCUGUCCAUGCAAACAGGCAGUGGAUUAGCACUUCCGGGACGUGAAAAGGCUGCAGACAACAAGGCAGCCAAGGGUCCCACCAAGAGUGUUGGCUGCUCAGUGUCUGUGUGCCAGCAUUCUUCCUGAGAACACUUAGCGCCAGAAUUUGGAGAGGAGUAAAAUUAGUACUUGCCUUGACCCAAGAAGUUAGAUUCUAUAUUUGUAAUAUUUAAGAGAUCAAAGGAGCUGCUGUUUUCACAAUGAAUUUAUUUCCAUACCUACAGAUAUUUCGAGAGAUCUUUUCCAUGCAGGAACUGAGACAAAUGUGUUUCUUGGAAGUGCAAUGUAACAACCCUAAUAAUGUCUGCCUAAUUCCGAAGUGUGUGGAGAUUUCACAAAAAUAGUCUUGUAAUGCUCUUUUGAGAACUGUAAAAUAAAGAAGCAGACCUGAACAUAUUCAUAAGAUACAAAAACAAGUCAUUGUGGUCUAAAUAUAUAA